rnacentral:rRNA from 1 species
GCGAUCCCAAGUUAGGCAG